GGUCUAAUAAAGAGCUGAAUGGCCAAUAGUGAGGCAGGAGAAAGGAUAGGUGGGGCUGGCAAGCAGAAAGAAAAAAAAUAGAAGGAAGAGGACAUCAGGAGCAAGUUCCCCAGAUAAACAGCAAGCCACAAAAUUCAAGACAUCAAGUCCUUCAUCGAGGUGCUUGGGCCAUCUGGAGUUGAGUUUUAUUCAUGGUGCUUAUGGGACCUGGUUAUGUCCAAUGAGUUGCAAAUACAGA